rnacentral:misc_RNA from 1 species
CCUCCGUACCUGGCUCUUGUGCAAAGCAUGGGCUUAAGCUCUGAGGUAAUCGUACUUAGUACGACGAUAGCAGCAGUCUGCCCUUGACGCUGUUCAUUGUUAGCAAGCUAUGCAAGUAGCAAAAGUCUGCCAUGAACAGCCACGGUGGUGUGAAGGCUGGCUGCGCAA